UUUUUCCUUAUUGUUGGUGAGAGAAAAGCUGUAAUUAUCUCUUUUUAUUUGUGUAGUGUAUUAUUGAAUAUCACCUUAUAAGGUAAGGAUAAGUUUUGCAUACACACUUCCCUUCUCAGACCCCACUAGGAAUAUUGUUGUUUUAGUAUUAUUGAAUAUGAGAACGUACCCAAUUAUUUCCUUUUCUAGAGAAGUUUUUAUUUCCUUGCUUCUAUGAACAAAUGUUCCGAAGGUUUGUCACUGCAGCUUCUAUCAAUUAUUAAGUAAAGCUUUGUGUAUUGCAGCUAAGCAGCUGGAACAACAUAUUUUGCUUUCUGGAGAUGCGGAAGGUGUAAUAAUUUUGUGGGAGUAUUCUCUUGUGGAUGCGAAGUGAAGAUAUGUCUUACAAGUGCCACAAGCCCACAAAAAAGGUGUUACCUGCAUCACGGCGAUCAUGGUGUCUCAGCAAGAAGCUGUUUUUGUCAUCUGCAUCCUCUGAUGGCACUGUGAAUGUAUGAAGUGUUUUUUUCAUGCUCUUUGAUCUCAUUAACUCGCUUCAUGUACAUUUCGUUGUUGUCGUGCUGGCAGUUCGGGGAUCGAUGAACUGGGAAGAGAUUGGCUGCACUUAGAAAUCCUUGAAGUCAAUAUCUUGAACUAGUUCUUAUGGAGUUUCACCAUAUAUAAAGCAUGAUUACUGUCAGUUUUAUGUACAUAAUUUUGCUCCAAGAAUGCUGUGAUGCAUCACUUGUUGGUCUUCUUUGAGUGAUAAAUGGUUGUCCAAAAGCUACAAACAAUGUAUUUGUCAUUUGAUAAAGUCAAUCUUGGCAUGACCUUCUUUCA